UGCAAUUCGCAACUAAAGGAAUCACUUUGGAUAAAACUAAAAAUGAAUAUGUUGUUACAGCUUUACCUCAGGAGAUGAUAAUGUCUGUUUUAGAUGUUAUUCGCAACCCGAGAAAUAACAACACUAUAUUUUUCCUUAAAUUGAAUUUGUAGUCGGCCAGGACUUUCAACCAGGCUUCACUUUCAAUGCUGUAACCCCUGGUUAAAGAUAGAUUCGUCUGUAAAAUCUGGGUCAUUGCGUCAAAUUGCUUUGCCGUUGUGAUUUUAACUCUAAAUAUGUGAAAUUUUAUCCUAUUUACAUAUAUAAAAAUAAAUAUUUGUAUGUA